rnacentral:rRNA from 1 species
AUACGGAGGGGGCUAGCGUUGUUCGGAAUUACUGGGCGUAAAGCGCGUGUAGGCGGAUCGUUAAGUCAGGGGUGAAAGCCCGGGGCUCAACCCCGGAACUGCCCUUGAUACUGGCGAUCUAGAGUCCGGAAGAGGUGGGCGGAAUUCCCGGUGUAGAGGUGAAAUUCGUAGAUAUCUGGAGGAACACCAGUGGCGAAGGCGGCUCACUGGUCCGGCACUGACGCUGAGACGCGAAAGCGUGGGGAGCAAACAGGAUUAGAAACCCCAGUAGUCC